AUUGAACGCUGGCGGAAUGCUUUACACAUGCAAGUCGAACGGCAGCACGGACUUCGGUCUGGUGGCGAGUGGCGAACGGGUGAGUAAUACAUCGGAACGUACCCAGUCGUGGGGGAUAACGUAGCGAAAGCUACGCUAAUACCGCAUACGAUCUACGGAUGAAAGCGGGGGAUCGCAAGACCUCGCGCGAUUGGAGCGGCCGAUGGCAGAUUAGGUAGUUGGUGGGGUAAAGGCUCACCAAGCCGACGAUCUGUAGCUGGUCUGAGAGGACGACCCGCCACACUGGGACUGAGACACGUCCCAGACUCCUACGGGAGGCAGCAGUGGGGAAUUUUGGACAAUGGGCGCAAGCCUGUUCCAGCCAUUCCGCGUGCAGGAUGAAGGCCCUCGGGUUGUAAACUGCUUUUGUACGGAACGAAAAGGCUCUGGUUAAUACCCGGGGCUCAUGACGGUACCGUAAGAAUAAGCACCGGCUAACUACGUGCCAGCCGCCGCCGUAA
rnacentral:rRNA from 1 species